GUGUUUUUUUGUCGAGGUACACAAUUUUUUUGCAAGUGCUAAAUGUUAGUGUGCGGUGUAUAUAUGUGUGAAAACGGCGGGAGAAAAGAAGGAAACCAAAGAGAAGACGAAAACAUAACCAAAGGCAGGCAACGCAUGUUGCACAUGCCAAAGCGGGAUGGCAUGAUACCACUUCAGUUUUGCCAUUUUUUUUGUUGUGAAAUUUGUGUGCAAUUUUGAGAAGUUUAUUCGAAAAUUUGCAACGAUACGGCUUUGUGGAAUAACAAAUCUGGCCCUGACCGGCUGGCCACCCCUUGUUUCUCACUGGAAAAUUCGCCGACGACCGCAGUUGGCUUUGCAUUUUACGUUUGAAAGGAUUAAGAACGGGUUUGCAGUAGCAGCACCACCGGCACCACCCCACGGGGCCCACAAAAGAGCUUAAGCGCGGGCCCUGGUCUCUGGUCAACGCCUGCUGCCGCCCGUUGUGUGCGGCUUUGGCUCUGAUUUACUCUCGGGGGUGGCUUCCUUCCACUUCAUGUAAAUGGCCCAAACAUUAAAGCAGCACUUGAGUUGCUGUGUGUGUAUCUUGCUGCCCGUCAAAGUCAUGCCACACACAGUCCAGUGGGGGAACCACCCUAAGCUGAGAGUACUGUGGCGUACUAUAUGCAAAAUGCAAACAAUGGACAACGCAACGCUGUAGUCACGUGCUGCCAACACCACCACCAGCUGCUGCCGCUCGGCCUCUUUCCGAGAACUCCUCCUAAUAAGCGGCAAAUAAUUGGCAGACGAACUUGAGACUAGAGAGACUACCCCAAUGGCAGGGAGCAGGGAAUGGGGACCAGCGGCUGCCCGUGGCAACUGCAAUUGCCACUAAAAAUCGAUAUCCACCCUGCCACCCAGGCCUGUCUGCCUGCCCGCCUGCUGCAGGUUGUCGAUCCUGGAAUGGAGUACUGUUUGUUUGCAUUUCCAGUCCCCAGAGAGAGAGAGCGCGUUUGAAUGAGAGUCUGCUCUCAGUUGCAGUUGGAAAUUGGAGUACAGGUAUGUUUUUGUAAUGUGCAACCACAACAACAAUUAGAAUUUCCGGCUAUAAACUCUGGGGCACAGGCCUAGGCGUAAGCGUUAGCCCAGAACCCCAUGUCAUUUUGACCAAAUUUGAAUGUCAAACGCAAACGGUGAUGCAGGGCCGGAUCUAAGUGAAAGAAAUUGAGGUACAGAGGUACUGCAUCCGCUCCUGGUAAUGACAGUUGCAUUCUGUGGCCCCCUGGCUGCCUGGUGCUCAAUGAACCAUUCAUUCUCUUCUCUGUUUUCUGUUGCCUGUCUGUCUUGGACUACGAACAUGGGCAACAACAAUUAAUAUGGCCAGCGAUGCGAAUCUAAUAAUGUGACUACAAUAGACCCGCUUCAGCCAGUCCAGUCCGUCUCUCUGUGUUUCACUGUUUUAUGUAAGCCCCGCUGCAGACAAAAGCUUGACUUGGGCUGCGCUCUGGCAGCUGCCUCGUGUGAUAUGUUGCCUGUUCUAACGAUACAUCAUUGGGAUAUAUAUGUAUGUAUGUGAUCCUAUAAGCCACUAGCACGAGGUGUGUGUACCUCUAGGUG